rnacentral:rRNA from 1 species
AAAACGACUCUCGGCAACGGAUAUCUCGGCUCUCGCAUCAAUGAAGAACGUAGCGAAAUGCGAUACUUGGUGUGAAUUGCAGAAUCCCGUGAACCAUCGAGUCUUUGAACGCAAGUUGCGCCCGAAGCCAUCCGGCCGAGGGCACGUCUGCCUGGGCGU